rnacentral:rRNA from 1 species
AUUGAACGCUGGCGGCAGGCCUAACACAUGCAAGUCGAGCGAGCGGCGGACGGGUGAGUAAUGUAUGGGGACUGCCCGAUAGAGGGGGAUAACUACUGGAAACGGUAGCUAAUACCGCAUACUAUCGGAUAACCCAUAUGGGAUUAGCUAGUAGGUGAGGUAAUGGUUCACCUAGGCGACGAUCCCUAGCUGGUCUGAGAGGAUGAUCAGCAACACUGGGACUGAGACACGGCCCAGACGCCUACGGAGGCAGCAGGGGGGAAUAUUGCAUAAUGGACGCAAGCCUGAUGCAGCCAUGCCGCGUGUAGGAAGAAGGCCCUAGGGUUGUAAAGUGCUUUCAGUCGGGAGGCGUUACCGACAGAAGAAGCACCGGCUAACUCCGUGCCAGCAGCCGCGGUAAUUC